AGCGGGGGAGAGGGGAGUAACACGUGGGCGACCUGCCCGUAAGACUGGGAUAACUUCCGGAAACCGAAGCUAAUACCGGAAAGGAUCUUCUCCUUCAUGGGAGAUGAUUGAAAGAUGGUUUCGGCUAUCACUUACCCAUAGGCCCGCGGUGCAUUAGCUAGUUGGUGAGGUAACGGCUCACCAAGGCAACGAUGCACAGACAACAUGAGAGGGUGAUCGGCCACACUGGGACUGAGACACGGCCCACACUCCUACGGGAGGCAGCAGUAGGGAAUCUUCCGCAAUGGACGAAAGUCUGACGGAGCAACGCCGCGUGAGUGAUGAAGGCUUUCGGGUCUUAAAACUCUGUUGUUAGGGAAGAACAAGUACUAGAGUAACUGCUCGUACCUUGACGGUACCUAACCAAAAAGCCACCGCUAACUACAUGCCAGCACCCGCGGUAAUACCUAGGUGGCAAGCGUUAUCCGGAAUUAUUGGGCGUAAAGCGCGCGCAGGCGGUUUCUUAAGUCUGAUGUGAAAGCCCACGGCUCAACCGCGGAGGGUCAUUGGAAACUGGGGAACUUGAGUGCAGAAGAAAAAAGCGGAAUUCCACGUGUAACGGUGAAAUGCCUAGAGAUGUGGAGGAACACCAGUGGCCAACGCGGAUUUUUGGUCUGUAACUGACGCUAAAGCGCGAAAACCUGGGGAGCAAACAUGAUUAGAUACCCUGGUAGUCCACCCCGUAAACCAUGAAUGCUGAGUGUUUGAGGGUUUCCGCCCUUUAGUGCUGCAGCUAACGCAUUAAGCACUCCGCCCGGGGAGUACGGUCGCAAGACUGAAACUCAAAGGAAUUGACCGGGGCCCGCACAAGCUGUGGAACAAGUGGUUUAAUUCCGAACAACGCGAAGAAGCCUUACCCAGUCUUGGACAUCCUCUGACAACUCUA
rnacentral:rRNA from 1 species